UAUAGUGGAAGAAAAAUUUUAAAAGUAGAGAAGGGAAUGAGAAAGUGUCUACCAUUUGGUAUUAAUUUAUAGUGGUAUCCGAAGAAAAAGAGCCAAAUGUAGGGAAAGGAAUGGAAUAGUGCCGGGCAUUUGGGCACCUAGGCCACAGCUUUAUUGAGAAUUGGUAUCAUGCCUCUGAAAAGCAUAUUGCCGGCAAAACUGCAAGAGACCAAGAGUCAUAGCUGUCUUGCUCUCUCCCUCUCUCUCCCAAGUUCGAAACGUUAAAACCCAGCAAUUGUUUUCUUUAAAUUGGUUGCAAUGGCUACUCAAUUCCAGAUUUCCAUUUUCCAGGUGCAAUUAGAAGUUGGAUAUGCAAGUCAAUCUCGAUCAGAAAAGAAAAAACAAGAAGGAAAAGGAUUGAUUCCAGAUUUCCAGGUUUUAUUGUUCUAUCACUUCUAUGCUAGUGUGUAUCAUUCAAAGUUUAGACUGUUUAGUAUUUUGGCUUGCUUGUUUGAGUUUUGUCUAGCUAGUUUCAAUAAUGUUUCCUCCGAAACAACUCUCAGGUUCUCAAAAAAGAAAAAGAAAGAAAAGAGAAGAAGAAAUUAUUCAAUCUCAACGGGGAUCUUUAGAUAAAUAUUUUGUUACAGAAACAAAAGAAUCUAUUGAAAAUCAUGUUGAGAAUUUAGUAAAUGAACCUAAACUACAAAUUCACUCUAAUGAGUUUGUAGAAAAUCUGAAUGAGGUAAACGAAGAACUUGAUGAUAUAGGUGAAAAUGGAAGUGACGAAUCAGAAAAUAAUGAAAAUCCUUGCCAAUGAACUUGAGUGCUUGAAAUCAUCAGCUGAUUUGAAUAUUUUUGAUCCUAGAGUUUGGGAUUGUCUAGAUUCAAAAAUGAGAGACUUGCUUGUAGAAAAAGGACCUAUUACAGAAACUAAUAUCAACUUUCCUAAGGAUGAAUUAGGUCGGCACUUUUCCUCUGAGUUUUAUGUUCGAAAAUUACCAAAUGGUGAAUCUCUUGAUAGAAAAUGGUUGAUUUACUCAAAAAAGUUGGAUAAAGUUUUUUGUUUCUGUUGUAAACUAUUUAAAACAGCUCGCUUGAGAAGUCAAUUAGCAAGUGAAGGGAUAAGAGAUUGGAUGAUGAUGAAUUGAAAAGCUGUUGUUUGAAUCUUGAAAAUGCUUUGAGAAAUGGUGAGGGUUCUGAUAUUGAUGUGAAAUAUUUGCUUAUGAGUUAUAAAUUUUGUAAGAGAUGUUGCCGAAUGAGGCAUAUGAAACAGAUAAUCCAUUCAAAUUAUGGAGUUUGCAAAGAAAAUGAAUAUAUUUCCAAGUGUUAUGGUUGCCUACAGGAUUUUAUUGACUAUACCGGUGACUGUAGCAUCCGCUGAAAGAAAUUUUUCAAAAUUGAAGUUAUUGAAGUCUUAUCUUCGGACUACCCUGACUCAAGAUAGACUGAAUGGAUUAGUGAUUUUAACCAUUGAAAGAAAUAUGUUGGCAAAUGUUGACUACGAAAAGAUAAUUGAUGAUUUUGCUUCAAGAAAUGCAAGAAUACAUCAUUUUAGAUGAUUUGUAAACUUUUUUAUACGGAGUUUUGGUUUUAUGUCCUCCCUGUUGUGUAAUGUUUCUUUAUAUAAUAGAGUAUGACAUUUGAAAGAAUCAUUACAUGUCUAUUAUUCUAGGCUAGUUGGGCACAAAAAAAAAAAUUCGCCCUGGGCAUCAAAAAGCUCAGGACCGGCCCUGAUGGGACGUAUUCUAUACUGCAACGCCUACACUCAAGACUUUGUCCUCUUGCAGACCUAUGCAUUCACUAUUUUUUGCAUUGUGCAUCUGAACUUGUUGCCCUGGAAAUCAAAUUAUCAAUUUCAUAGACUCGUCUAACCUAUUCUUGCAGGGAAGUUGCAAGGGUUUUCUUACUUUUAUUGCCUUAUUGGGGGGUUUAUUGACCGGUAGGUUUUCAAAGUAUAUGCUUAUAAUAUUAUAUAUACGUAGAAAGCAGGGACAUCUUUUUCCACAAAACGAUGUGGCCGCCAAGAAAAUUGACACCUGCACAUGGAAAUUUUUAGGCUAGGGAUAUGUCAAGGUAUAUGCUAAAUCCCUUAUCAGAGAACAUCAAUCUAUUCCACCAUUAAAGGAAGAAGAAAGAAAGAAAAGAGGGAAACAUUCAGAUUUCAAAGCCAAAACACUUUCGUAUUUCCAAACAUUUUGCAUUAACAAAACAUGGUUUACAUUCUGAAAUAGACAAGGGACUAAAGUUGCAUUGGUUCUCUUUUAUGGGAGUACUUCAUUUGCUCUCACUCAUCACUUCCUAAUCUCUCUCUCUGACUAAAAAAAAACAGAGAAGGUGGGGAAGGACAGGAUCAAU